rnacentral:lncRNA from 1 species
AGGCUAGCCCUGCUCCUAUAAUUGUCAACACAGACACUUUGGACACUAUUCCUUAUGUCAAUGGAACAGAAAUUGAAUAUGAAUUUGAAGAAAUUACAUUGGAGAGGAUGUGAUCUGAACACUUUGGCUGACAGUCCUACAAUCCUAGCACUCAAGAUGGGGAACCAUAAGGCCCAGGAAUUCAAGGCUAUCUUGAACUACUCAGUGAUUUUUGAAACAACUCUGGCCUUACAAGAAACUCUGUGCCAAUAAAAACAAAAUGAACAUU